UGAUUAUUUAAUCUAUUAAAGAUUAAUUAUUUUAUUUGAUAAUGUAAACUUUUAAAUCAAAUAGUAUUUCAUGGGGAGCACUUACUACGCACGCACCUAGUACAAAUAAAUAUUUAGAUUCGUCGGGUACAUGCAUUGGAUCUAGUAUUAGAAACGGAUUUAGAUCCAGUUCCAUUCUCGUUCUUCAUCAAACCCUAAAAACAUAACCCUUGACCUUCUUUAAAAAUAAUAUCACCGAGACACAGAAACCUUCAACCUUGAAUCCGCCGCCGUUUCCUCCAUUCCAGCAUUCCCUAAUCCUUCAUUUCCAUAAAAAAUGGCUUCAAAGAAGAAUAAAGAUCCUUAGUCCUUAUCUUAUCUCUAAAAACCUGUGAAGUCCAAUGGUGGCUAUCAAAACAAGAAGGUAACAUUAACAAUAAUAAUAAAUGGCCAUUUUUACGACCAUUGUAUAACUUCUUAAACCCUAGUUUUCAUUUAAUUUAAUUCAAUUUUAUUUUCUUUUUAGUUAAAUUACAGAAAUGGAAUAAAGGAAAAUAAAAGUAGAAGCUGAAUAGUAUGGUAUUGUUCGUUCAAUCUUCUGACGAAAAGUAGGUUUUGAGCACCGUACUGGGCCCCAAAAAAUUGGAGGCCUUAAUAUUAAUUUGUAUUUUAAAAAACAAAACUAAUAGAAAAAUAUAAGCCUUUAAAUAAUUUAUCAUUUUUUCUCCGCCCUUGGAGAAAAGCUAUUGUAAAAAAAGGGGUAAAAUUACCCUGAGUCGUUCAGAGAGAGUUGACAUAGGGACGAGUUUAGCUACAGGCAUUGAUUGGGUGUUAUGCUAUUGAUUGGCCUCUAAUGAUGAUCAAAAGAAUACUUUUGUUCUUCCGAGAUGUUCCCAUGAGGAAAAACGUUUUUGGAGACCUGAACUGAAGAGGCCGUUCAGUUUUUUGUUUGUAAAUUUUCAAUUAUGGCAUUGAUGGUAAUGACUUUUAUGGUUGACUGGUUGUCAUUGUUGAAGUGUUGAGGUUAAUCUAUUGUACAUAAUUUUUGGUGCGUUUUAGUGAUUUGAUUGUGUCUGUUGGGGCUUGAGUGCGUCUAAGUAGCAUAGUUUAUUGUGCACUUGUUCAAUGAUUGAUGAUGGAGAUUCCUGCUGGGUUUUUGCUUUAUGGAUUAGUUUUGAUUUCUCUUGUUGGCCUCUAAUGAUGAUGAAAGUUGUGACUUUCAUUCUUCUGAGAUUUUCUGUGGAAGCUUUAGGGAGACCUGAACUGAAAAGGCUUUAGGUGUUGUUCUAUAGUUCAUAUUCUUUAAAUGUUAGUCUAAAAGGUUGUAUAUGAGAGUAUUGUGGUGCCUUGGUGAUUCAUUUAUGUAUUCAAGUUUUCUGGAUUAAUGUAAUUUAAUUUUAAUUUGCAUAUUGUGUUGGUUCUUUUGAUUUUAAAGUAUAAUGUUUUUAUCACCUAAAACUUUGGCAACUUUAGGCUUUUGUUAUUCUGUGGAUAUAUUUGAGUCAACUUUCCAUUGUUGAGAAUUUAUUUAGUCUAUGUUUAGAGUUGAAGUCGUAAGUAAGGUGAAACAAAAGGAGAAGUUGGACAAUAUGUGUUUCGAUUAAUCUUCAUACAAAAAGCUAUUGUUGGAAAUGCCUAUAGCUAAACUUGUUCGCCCUUGGGAAUGUUGAUUUCAUUUGAAAAUGCGAAUUUGACUCAAAUUUAGUGUUUGGCAAAUAAAAAAUAUUUAAAUAUAGAUUUGAGUCAAAUCCACUAUUUUUUGAACGUGGUUAAAGAUAAGGAUUCGAGAAUGACUUUCCUAACCUUGUCAUUCUCAAAUUCAUCUUCAAUGAAUUUAUAAUUGAAAUCUACAAUUUGAAAUGAAAUGCUUGUUUCCAAACGUAACUUUAAACUCUUUCUGAAUGAAUAAGGGUAAUUUUCGUUUUUUUAGGGAUUUAGAAACUUUUUAUUAAGCCUCCUAAUGAUUAAAAAUCACUUUCGUCCUCCAAAAUGUUGUGAUGAAAAAUUAAAUUUUUUAGGCAGUUGUUUUACUUGGCUUUUGCACGUGUGUUGAAUUAAUUCGACAUUCUUAUGUGAAGUAUAAUUCUCUAUUACUAUGACUUUUAAUCAAAUUACUAGAGUAAAUUUUUCUGUGUAGCUUUUGUUUUAUUGACUGACCCCUAAUGAUGAUAAAAUCAAUACUUUUGUUCUUCCGAGAUGUUCCCAUGCGGAAAAGACUUUUUUGGAGACCUGAACUGAAGAGGCCUUUCAUUUUUUGUUUUUGUGUAAUUGUUCAAUCAUGGCAAUGAUUGUAAUGACUUCUAUUGUUGAAGUUUUGAAGUUAAUCUAUUGGAUUUAAUUUUUGGUUUAUGCAUUUUUCUGUGUUUUAGUGAUUUACUUGUGUCGGGGCUUGUGUGUGUUUGAGUAGCAUAGGUUAUUCUGCACUUGCUUAUUGAUUGAUGAUGGAGAUUCAGUGAUUUACUACUAGGUUUUUGCUAUGCUUGUCAGAGGAGCUUAUUUUUGAUACAUUUAAAUUAAAUUUUUGGAUUGUUUUAUAUGAAUUAGAUUUCCUUUAUUGGCCUCUAAUGAUGAUGAAAGUUGUAACUUUCGUUCUUCUGAGAUUUCAUGCGAAAGCUUUUAGGAGACCUGAACUAAAGAGGCUAUAGGUGCUGUUCAAUAGCUCUUAUUUUUAAGACUGCUAUUCUAAAAAGGUUGAGUAUGAGAGGCUGUAGUGUAACAUUUUUAAAAUUUUCUAGAUUGUAGAUUGUAAUGUAAUGUUUUUUAUUUUCAUAUUGUUGCCUCUUGUGAUGUUAAAUAUGACCUUUUAUCACCUGAGAUUUCAAUGCUGAAAGACGUUAGUAACUGAAGAGGCUUUUGUUAUUUUGUUGAUGCAUUUGACUAUUUGAGUCAACUAUGCGGAGAGUUAUUUGUUCUAUGUUGUUGAGUUUAAGUUGUAAGGAAAACAAAAGGAGGACUUGGACAGUAUGGCAUUGUUCGAACAUUCUUCAUAUUGAAAGCUAUUGUGGGAAUCGAGAAAUGCCUAUAGCUAAACCCGUCCCUCCUGUAACUCUUUCUUUAUUCCCUUUUUUAGGGUUUUUAAAACUUUUUAUUUAAAGCUUCUCAAUGCUGAAAGACGUUGGUAAAUAAAGAGGCUUUUGUUAUUCUGUAGAUGCAUUUGAGUCAACUCUCCAUUGCAGAGUCUUAUUUGGUCUAUGUCUAGCUACCUGCUGUAAAAUACUCGUUGGUAUGCUACUUGGACUUUGGUACUGAUGUCGGUUUUGGUAUGUGUUCUAGUGUUGGAUACGUCUAAAUAUUCAAUUUUACGCCUAAAGUGAAGUGUUUAAGUGCUAUUCCAAUGUCCAAGCAUCAAAGAUCGGACACGGAUGUGUGAAGUAUAAUAAAGAGUCCGAGUAACAUAGGUUCCAUCAAUCUUUGUACAAAAAGCUAUUGUGGGAGUAUAGCUUAAAUUUCCCUCAUGUAACUCUUUUUGUACGAUUUAGGGUAAUUUCCCUUUUUUUUUUAAGGAUUUUUGAAACUAUUUUUCCAAAGCCUCCAAUGAUAAAAAAUUAUCUUUGUUCUUCUGAGAUGUUCUUAUGUGGAAAAAGUAUCUGGAGACCUGAACUGAAGAGGAAUUUUUUUUACUUGGCAUUUGCAGUUUGUUUAAUUUUUGAGGAAAUGAUUAAAUGGGUGUUUAUAGUUUUAUUGAUUGAGUAUUAUGCUAUUGGUUGGCCUCUAAUGAUGAUCAAAUGAAUUCUUAUGUUCUUCUAAGAUGUUCCCUGGUGGAAAAACUUUUUUGGAGACAUGAACUAAAUAGUUGUUGCUUGGUUUUGGCUCCCUUUAUCAGGGGAGGGUAUCUUUGAUUCAUGUAAAUUAUGGGUUUGUGUUAUAUGAAUUAGAAUUCUCUUGUUGGCCUCUAAUGAUGAUGAAAGUUGUAAACUUUCGUUCUUCUGAGAUUUUCAUGCGGAAGCUUUAGAGACCUGAACUGAAGAGGCUUUAUGGUGCCUUGGUGAUACAUUUAUUUUUUAAGGGUUCCUUGAUUGUAAUGUGAUGUAUUUCAAAUUUUUAUAUUGUGUUGCCUCUUAUAAAAUAUGACCUUUUAUCACCUGAGAUUUCAAUGUUGAAAGACUUUGGUAACUGAAGAGGCUUUUGUUAUUUUGUGGAUGAAUUUGAGUAACUCUUCAUUGCAGAGAAUCAUUUGGUCUAUGUUUCUGAAGUUAAGUUGUUAGUAAUUGUUGGCUUAGAAUCACAAUGGAGUUUUCCCCUGUCAAUUCAUUCUUUAAUGUGGUUCUUGUGAAGAAAUGAAUGAUAGUCUUGUAUUAAGCGUGUAAUGGAAGUGUUAACCCCAUGUAAUUAGGGUUGACAAUAUCUGUUGAUCCCGAUUUGUUUCUAGAAAAGAUAGAUUUAGGUUGUGUCUUCGUUUUUUAUAUAAAUUUGAAACCUAGUAGAGUCUCUUUUCUCCACACUGUAUUCUACUCUAAAAAAAGAUAUGAAGCCCUAUUCUUGCGAGCUGUUAUGCCUCUUCUGUCUCCUCUCAAGUUUUCUACCGCGAAGCCACUUAUGAUCCGGUCUUUGCUCAUCACAAAUCAUCCGCGCGCCUCGACUUCGCUCUCUUUUUCGUUCCAUCCUCGGCUUUUUAGAAGAGGUAUGAUGAUGAUGCUGAUGAAGUAGAUUAGCAUCUCUUGAGGCCAACAUCUUGACUACAAAGAGAGCACUCUUGGAACUUUUAUUGAAGGAUAAUGACAUGCUAAAUUGCAUUCUCUCAAUUGCAGCAAGAUGCUUAGCAGCAAUCAGAAGUAAAGCUCCAUCAAAAUUGCUGCUCCAUUAAGCAUUUGAGACAUCAAGCAUUAUACUUAACAAGACAAACAUGAUGUUCAAUUUUCAAUCAAUAUAAAUGCAAAACAUAUAUCAAGUAUCCAACAUUGGUAGGAUAUGAAAGUGUAAAUUUAUUUUAAUAUAAAAUUUUCGAUAUAUUAGGUGUAACUCAAAGAGUAAUUUAAUUUUGUAGAAGAUGGAAGAUGCUAAUUUAUUCAUCUAUUCAAAAAUACACACCGAGUUUACCCCUUCU